rnacentral:rRNA from 1 species
GACGAACGCUGGCGGCGUGCUUAACACAUGCAAGUCGAACGGAAAGGCCCUGCUUUUGUGGGGUGCUCGAGUGGCGAACGGGUGAGUAACACGUGAGUAACCUACCCUUGACUUUGGGAUAACUUCAGGAAACUGAGGCUAAUACCGGAUAGGAGCUCCUGCUGCAUGGUGGGGGUUGGAAAGUUUCGGCGGUUGGGGAUGGACUCGCGGCUUAUCAGCUUGUUGGUGGGGUAGUGGCUUACCAAGGCUUUGACGGGUAGCCGGCCUGAGAGGGUGACCGGCCACAUUGGGACUGAGAUACGGCCCAGACUCCUACGGGAGGCAGCAGUGGGGAAUAUUGCACAAUGGGCGGAAGCCUGAUGCAGCAACGCCGCGUGCGGGAUGACGGCCUUCGGGUUGUAAACCGCUUUCGCCUGUGACGAAGCGUGAGUGACGGUAAUGGGUAAAGAAGCACCGGCUAACUACGUGCCAGCAGCCGCGGUGAUACGUAGGGUGCGAGCGUUGUCCGGAUUUAUUGGGCGUAAAGGGCUCGUAGGUGGUUGAUCGCGUCGGAAGUGUAAUCUUGGGGCUUAACCCUGAGCGUGCUUUCGAUACGGGUUGACUUGAGGAAGGUAGGGGAGAAUGGAAUUCCUGGUGGAGCGGUGGAAUGCGCAGAUAUCAGGAGGAACACCAGUGGCGAAGGCGGUUCUCUGGGCCUUUCCUGACGCUGAGGAGCGAAAGCGUGGGGAGCGAACAGGCUUAGAUACCCUGGUAGUCCACGCUGUAAACGGUGGGUACUAGGUGUGGGGUCCAUUCCACGGGUUCCGUGCCGUAGCUAACGCUUUAAGUACCCCGCCUGGGGAGUACGGCCGCAAGGCUAAAACUCAAAGGAAUUGACGGGGCCCCGCACAAGCGGCGGAGCAUGCGGAUUAAUUCGAUGCAACGCGUAGAACCUUACCUGGGUUUGACAUGGAUCGGGAGUGCUCAGAGAUGGGUGUGCCUCUUUUGGGGUCGGUUCACAGGUGGUGCAUGGCUGUCGUCAGCUCGUGUCGUGAGAUGUUGGGUUAAGUCCCGCAACGAGCGCAACCCUUGUUCACUGUUGCCAGCACGUUAUGGUGGGGACUCAGUGGAGACCGCCGGGGUCAACUCGGAGGAAGGUGGGGAUGACGUCAAGUCAUCAUGCCCCUUAUGUCCAGGGCUUCACGCAUGCUACAAUGGCUGGUACAGAGAGUGGCGAGCCUGUGAGGGUGAGCGAAUCUCGGAAAGCCGGUCUCAGUUCGGAUUGGGGUCUGCAACUCGACCUCAUGAAGUCGGAGUCGCUAGUAAUCGCAGAUCAGCAACGCUGCGGUGAAUACGUUCCCGGG